CCUACGGGUGGCAGCAGUGAGGAAUAUUGGUCAAUGGCCGGAAGGCUGAACCAGCCAUGCCGCGUGAAGGUCAGUGCCCUAUGGGCGUUAAACUUCUUUUGUGCGGGAGCAAUAAUGGUCACGUGUGGCCAGACGAGAGUACCGUACGAAUAAGCAUCGGCUAACUCCGUGCCAGCAGCCGCGGUAAUACGGGGGAUGCAAGCGUUAUCCGGAUUUAUUGGGUUUAAAGGGUGCGUAGGCGGAUUUUUAAGUCAGCGGUAAAAUGUCCGGGCUCAACCCGGGCCGGCCGUUGAAACUGGGGAUCUUGAGUGGGCGAGAAGUAUGCGGAAUGCGUGGUGUAGCGGUGAAAUGCAUAGAUAUCACGCAGAACUCCGAUUGCGAAGGCAUCUCACGAAUCCGCGAUUGACGCUGAUGCACGAAAGCGUGGGUAUCAAACAGGAUUAGAUACCCUUGUAGUC
rnacentral:rRNA from 1 species